rnacentral:rRNA from 1 species
UACCAGCACCCCGAGUGGUCGGGACGAUUAUUGGGCCUAAAGCAUCCGUAGCCGGUCCUACAAGUCUUCCGUUAAAUCCACCUGCUUAACAGAUGGGCUGCGGAAGAUACUAUAGAGCUAGGAGGCGGGAGAGGCAAGCGGUACUCAGUGGGUAGGGGUAAAAUCCUCUGAUCCAUUGAAGACCACCAGUGGCGAAGGCGGCUUGCCAGAACGCGCUCGACGGUGAGGGAUGAAAGCUGGGGGAGCAACCGG